UACGGAGGAUCCAAGCGUUAUCCGGAUUUAUUGGGUUUAAAGGGUGCGUAGGUGGUUUAUUAAGUCAGGGGUGAAAGACGGCAGCUUAACUGUCGCAGUGCCUUUGAUACUGAUGAACUUGAAUAAACUAGAGGUAGGCGAAAUGUGACAAGUAGCGGCGAAAUGCAUAGAUAUGUCACAGAACACCAAUUGCGAAGGCAGCUUACUAUGGUUUUAUUGACACUGAGGCACAAAAGCGUGGGGAUCAAACAGG
rnacentral:rRNA from 1 species